UACGGGGGGAGCAAGCGUUGUUCGGAUUUACUGGGCGUAAAGGGCGCGUAGGCGGCCACCGCAAGUCGACUGUGAAAUCUCCGGGCUUAACCCGGAAAGGUCAGCCGAUACUGCGGGGCUAGAGUGCAGAAGGGGCAACUGGAAUUCUUGGUGUAGCGGUGAAAUGCGUAGAUAUCGAGAGGAACACCUGCGGCGAAGGCGGGUUGCUGGGCUGACACUGACGCUGAGGCGCGAAAGCUAGGGGAGCAAACGGG
rnacentral:rRNA from 1 species